UGCAUUCCUUCCUUCAGAAACCUGAAGUGAACCCUGCUAUUUUACUACAAACACCUCAAGUGGCAGCAAACGUCAUUGUUCUCCCCUCUGCCCAAGCCUUUCAGGUCACAGUGAUGCAGUCCCGGACAGAAGCCGCUGAAACUUACUUCGCUCACGAACUUCGCAAGAGCUCGUGCUGCAAUGACCACACAUGCGCAUCUCAUCAAUGUACCGCUGAGAACAAAGCAUAGCAAAUGCCCUAUCGCCAGAUGACAUCCAUUUCUACACCGGGCUCUCCCAUCAUGUGUUCCAUUCUUUAGUACGUGCAGUUUCUGUUACUGAGCGGAGAAGGCGGCGGCAGCUUCUAC